CACAGACAAAUCCUCCAAAACACUGUCCAGAUUGCAAAGCAAGAGGCGAAAGUAAAAAGGUGAGGGUGUACCAGUUGAACCUAGAAUACGAGGGGGUUCUAAUGUGUGAAAAUAAACUAUGUAAAUGGCCGUUCAACAGAUUUAGAAGUGAUAGUUUCCUAGUCGAAGACAUACGUAAGGUGAACGUACACAGGAAGAAUAAGAAAAAAGAAAUAAAAUGAAGAAACGAGGAACGAAGUUUUAUAAAGAAAAAGAAGAACCGAAGAACUACUUGAAAACAUGGAUAGAGCCAACUCAGAAAUAUAACAUUUAUUAUUUAAUCUGACAAAAGUACAAAUUAUAUAUUUCUAAUUGACUUUUUAUUAUUAUUAUUUUGACUUUUAUCCAAUUAUUGUUUUUCUUGAUAACUUUUUAAAUUAUAACGUUUGUUGUCUUUUAUUGUAAUUAUGUUAAUAUUCUGAUGGAACCCUAAUUUUACGAAAAUAUUAUGAAUUAUUAAUCAUUUAUUUUGAAGUUUUUUUCAGAA